GCUGGGCAUGGUGGCUCAUGCCUGUAAUCCCAGCACUUUGGGAGGCCGAGGUGGGUGGAUCACCUGAGGUCAGGAUUCGAGACCAGCCUGGCCAACAUGGUGAAACCCCAUCUCUA
ensembl:misc_RNA Metazoa_SRP Metazoan signal recognition particle RNA